rnacentral:rRNA from 1 species
CACGUAGGGCGCAAGCAUUGUCCGGAAUUAUUGGGCGUAAAGAGCUCGUAGGCGGUCUGUUGCGUCUGCUGUGAAAACUCGGGGCUUAACCCCGAGCCUGCAGUGGAUACGGGCAGACUAGAGGUAGGUAGGGGAGAAUGGAAUUCCCGGUGUAGCGGUGAAAUGCGCAGAUAUCGGGAGGAACACCGGUGGCGAAGGCGGUUCUCUGGGCCUUACCUGACGCUGAGGAGCGAAAGCGUGGGUAGCGAACAGG